rnacentral:rRNA from 1 species
AGCGUACACGGUGGAUGCCCUGGCAGUCAGAGGCGAUGAAGGACGUGCUAAUCUGCGAUAAGCGUCGGUAAGGUGAUAUGAACCGUUAUAACCGGCGAUUUCCGAAUGGGGAAACCCAGUGUGUUUCGACACACUAUCAUUAACUGAAUCCAUAGGUUAAUGAGGCGAACCGGGGGAACUGAAACAUCUAAGUACCCCGAGGAAAAGAAAUCAACCGAGAUUCCCCCAGUAGCGGCGAGCGAACGGGGAGGAGCCCAGAGCCUGAAUCAGUGUGUGUGUUAGUGGAAGCGUCUGGAAAGGCGCGCGAUACAGGGUGACAGCCCCGUACACAAAAAUGCACAUGCUGUGAGCUCGAUGAGUAGGGCGGGACACGUGGUAUCCUGUCUGAAUAUGGGGGGACCAUCCUCCAAGGCUAAAUACUCCUGACUGACCGAUAGUGAACCAGUACCGUGAGGGAAAGGCGAAAAGAACCCCGGCGAGGGGAGUGAAAAAGAACCUGAAACCGUGUACGUACAAGCAGUGGGAGCACAGAGCAAUCUGUGUGACUGCGUACCUUUUGUAUAAUGGGUCAGCGACUUAUAUUCUGUAGCAAGGUUAACCGAAUAGGGGAGCCGAAGGGAAACCGAGUCUUAACUGGGCGUUAAGUUGCAGGGUAUAGACCCGAAACCCGGUGAUCUAGCCAUGGGCAGGUUGAAGGUUGGGUAACACUAACUGGAGGACCGAACCGACUAAUGUUGAAAAAUUAGCGGAUGACUUGUGGCUGGGGGUGAAAGGCCAAUCAAACCGGGAGAUAGCUGGUUCUCCCCGAAAGCUAUUUAGGUAGCGCCUCGUGAAUUCAUCUCCGGGGGUAGAGCACUGUUUCGGCAAGGGGGUCAUCCCGACUUACCAACCCGAUGCAAACUGCGAAUACCGGAGAAUGUUAUCACGGGAGACACACGGCGGGUGCUAACGUCCGUCGUGAAGAGGGAAACAACCCAGACCGCCAGCUAAGGUCCCAAAGUCAUGGUUAAGUGGGAAACGAUGUGGGAAGGCCCAGACAGCCAGGAUGUUGGCUUAGAAGCAGCCAUCAUUUAAAGAAAGCGUAAUAGCUCACUGGUCGAGUCGGCCUGCGCGGAAGAUGUAACGGGGCUAAACCAUGCACCGAAGCUGCGGCAGCGACACUGUGUGUUGUUGGGUAGGGGAGCGUUCUGUAAGCCUGUGAAGGUGUGCUGUGAGGUAUGCUGGAGGUAUCAGAAGUGCGAAUGCUGACAUAAGUAACGAUAAAGCGGGUGAAAAGCCCGCUCGCCGGAAGACCAAGGGUUCCUGUCCAACGUUAAUCGGGGCAGGGUGAGUCGACCCCUAAGGCGAGGCCGAAAGGCGUAGUCGAUGGGAAACAGGUUAAUAUUCCUGUACUUGGUGUUACUGCGAAGGGGGGACGGAGAAGGCUAUGUUGGCCGGGCGACGGUUGUCCCGGUUUAAGCGUGUAGGCUGGUUUUCCAGGCAAAUCCGGAAAAUCAAGGCUGAGGCGUGAUGACGAGGCACUACGGUGCUGAAGCAACAAAUGCCCUGCUUCCAGGAAAAGCCUCUAAGCAUCAGGUAACAUCAAAUCGUACCCCAAACCGACACAGGUGGUCAGGUAGAGAAUACCAAGGCGCUUGAGAGAACUCGGGUGAAGGAACUAGGCAAAAUGGUGCCGUAACUUCGGGAGAAGGCACGCUGAUAUGUAGGUGAAGUCCCUCGCGGAUGGAGCUGAAAUCAGUCGAAGAUACCAGCUGGCUGCAACUGUUUAUUAAAAACACAGCACUGUGCAAACACGAAAGUGGACGUAUACGGUGUGACGCCUGCCCGGUGCCGGAAGGUUAAUUGAUGGGGUUAGCGCAAGCGAAGCUCUUGAUCGAAGCCCCGGUAAACGGCGGCCGUAACUAUAACGGUCCUAAGGUAGCGAAAUUCCUUGUCGGGUAAGUUCCGACCUGCACGAAUGGCGUAAUGAUGGCCAGGCUGUCUCCACCCGAGACUCAGUGAAAUUGAACUCGCUGUGAAGAUGCAGUGUACCCGCGGCAAGACGGAAAGACCCCGUGAACCUUUACUAUAGCUUGACACUGAACAUUGAGCCUUGAUGUGUAGGAUAGGUGGGAGGCUUUGAAGUGUGGACGCCAGUCUGCAUGGAGCCGACCUUGAAAUACCACCCUUUAAUGUUUGAUGUUCUAACGUGGACCCGUGAUCCGGGUUGCGGACAGUGUCUGGUGGGUAGUUUGACUGGGGCGGUCUCCUCCUAAAGAGUAACGGAGGAGCACGAAGGUUGGCUAAUCCUGGUCGGACAUCAGGAGGUUAGUGCAAUGGCAUAAGCCAGCUUGACUGCGAGCGUGACGGCGCGAGCAGGUGCGAAAGCAGGUCAUAGUGAUCCGGUGGUUCUGAAUGGAAGGGCCAUCGCUCAACGGAUAAAAGGUACUCCGGGGAUAACAGGCUGAUACCGCCCAAGAGUUCAUAUCGACGGCGGUGUUUGGCACCUCGAUGUCGGCUCAUCACAUCCUGGGGCUGAAGUAGGUCCCAAGGGUAUGGCUGUUCGCCAUUUAAAGUGGUACGCGAGCUGGGUUUAGAACGUCGUGAGACAGUUCGGUCCCUAUCUGCCGUGGGCGCUGGAGAACUGAGGGGGGCUGCUCCUAGUACGAGAGGACCGGAGUGGACGCAUCACUGGUGUUCGGGUUGUCAUGCCAAUGGCACUGCCCGGUAGCUAAAUGCGGAAGAGAUAAGUGCUGAAAGCAUCUAAGCACGAAACUUGCCCCGAGAUGAGUUCU